ACUAAUCAGGUUUCCAUUUCACCCAUCUUCAAAUCACACAAAUAAUCCAUAUUUUAAAUAGAACAGAAAAAAUGUAGAAUUUCUUAGGCCUGGAGCUACUGUACAUAGUCUAUUACAAUCUAUGCAUAGUCUAUUACAACCCAGAUAUGCCUACUAUUACAGUACUAUAAUAUUUACAGUUUAUUACAGUCAAACAGAACAAAUCUUUGCUGCUAGGGCUACACGCCGCUUCGAACUUGAAAUUUCCUAGGCCUGGAGCUCCUGUAAAAGGGUGAACACAAUGGCAUUAGAGUACCAUCUUCAUUCCUGGAGUAGAUAUUCAAACCUCCAGGUUUAGUGUAUAGACAAUCUAGAAAAUAUAUAUUUAACAAAAUUUCACAGAAAUGCAGAUGUCUAUAAUGUAAUGAAGAUGUAAUCAUAACAACUGAUGUAUACAUGAGAAGCAGCAACUAAAAGAAUUCUACAAUCUUUCAUAGCAAGAUAUUGUAUAUUACUGUACUAUGAUGUAUUGUAUAUUACUGUACUUCAGAUGUAUUGCCACACCAAAUUCUACAAGACGUCUGAAGUACAGUAAUAUACAAUAUAUCAUAGCAAGCUGACUAGACGAGUUUAGUUUGAACAACCCACUAAACAAUUUAGCAAUAAGAGCAUACAACUACAGCAAAACAGAGCAUAAUUCAGUUCUAAUAUGCACAACUAAAACAACUCCAAUUUUGGUUUUAAUAUGUAUACAGCACGCAUCAUUGACCACGGAGCAUACGGCCACAGCAAAACAAGGGAGCAAUUCAGGGAAAGGAAUACUACAGUUGCUUGAGACAUGUGCUACUCGUUCGAAAGUAAUCAGUAACCAACGAGUCAAUAAAAGUGUGCAGGUAGGCCACUCUACCCAGUGAGAUUAAUACACUACAGAAUCUAUCUAAGACAAGACCACCACCGACAUUAAACUGUACUAUAUUUCUGGACAGCAAACUAAAUAGACGGCUGCUCUCAAACCAUACAUCCAAAUGAAGCAAACGAGUACUCUACGGAAACCUUAGAGCAUUCUUUACAACUCAUAUGUAGAGGCCAACUUGAAAUUAUGAGCAUAACAAACUCGUUUUUCAGUUAGAAGCUCGCUUCCCAAAACUGUCAGGUAGUGCAGUUUUUUAACUGAACCAAAUUUAGUUUACAGAACGGCCAGAGAAAUCCAAUUCUACAGGAGACAUGAUCAUAUUCCUAAUCAUCAUGCAUUUGCCAUGCAGAUCAACCAAUUCUUCUUGAAAAAUGAAAAUUACAGCAGUGAUUCUGAAAUGGCAUUUACCUUCCAUAUCAAAGAUGAAGCGUUCCCUUCUUUUAACUUCUUCAACCUAGAGCUCCUGUAGAAGAAUGAAAAUGACCGUUAUCAUGGCCGCCAAUUCAAAAUGAAAGCAAUACCUUCCAAUAGAGAACAGCUAGGAAAAGAAUAAUUAAUAGAAUAAUAAAUAGAUACACAAGCAGCUAGGAGUCGAUCCUGAAGCAUGAGGGCAUGGAUAACAGUAGCAACCAUGAGGAGUAAAUAGUAGCAAAUAUUAUAUUGGUGGAAAAAGGUAAAUACCAGCAAGCUCUAAGAAGACUCCAAGAGCUUGAUGGCUCACAAUACAAUCAUGUUUUCGAUAACAAAUACUACUAGAAUUAAGGAACUGAACAUAUUCUAAGAAGUAUCAACAUCAUGGCAGUAAAAAUUAGUAGUAGCAGCUAGCAGGACAUCAAUCGAACACAACGUAAUUAUCAUUUGAACAAUACCGGUCACAACAAGUAAUCAGAAUACAGCAGCGAGUGGGUGCAAACACCAACCAUAACCAGGAAUACUGGAGAACUACAAGUUAAAUGUACUCAAAGAAACCACCAAAAUCUCUCAAUACCGGUCACAACAAGUAAUCAGAAUACAGCAGCAACAAGUACCAGGAAUAAAUCACGUUAGUAACUAGAACAGAGAAAGAAAAUGUAGAAGUGGCACGAGUCAUGAAUGGUGUCUUGAGUUACUGCUGCAUCGUCCGUAACAGAGGCCGAGGAACUCGCUGUGAUGGGUUGCAGCAUCUAUGCUGAUGCAGUCUCAGCCACAGGCUCCUCCUCACACCUGAAGUGAAACACGCAGGUUGGUCAGCAGAACUACAAUAGUUUAGCUUUUGGAGAUGACAAAUAACUCAAAUUACCCUUGAUAUCUGUUUCAAAAAAAUUAACCUUCUA
rnacentral:lncRNA from 1 species